CAUUAGGUCAGCGGCGGACGGGUGAGUAACACGUGGGUAACCUGCCUGUAAGACUGGGAUAACUCCGGGAAACCGGGGCUAAUACCGGAUGCUUGAUUGAACCGCAUGGUUCAAUCAUAAAAGGUGGCUUUUAGCUACCACUUGCAGAUGGACCCGCGGCGCAUUAGCUAGUUGGUGAGGUAACGGCUCACCAAGGCGACGAUGCGUAGCCGACCUGAGAGGGUGAUCGGCCACACUGGGACUGAGACACGGCCCAGACUCCUACGGGAGGCAGCAGUAGGGAAUCUUCCGCAAUGGACGAAAGUCUGACGGAGCAACGCCGCGUGAGUGAUGAAGGUUUUCGGAUCGUAAAACUCUGUUGUUAGGGAAGAACAAGUACCGUUCGAAUAGGGCGGUACCUUGACGGUACCUAACCAGAAAGCCACGGCUAACUACGUGCCAGCAGCCGCGGUAAUACGUAGGUGGCAAGCGUUGUCCGGAAUUAUUGGGCGUAAAGCGCGCGCAGGCGGUUUCUUAAGUCUGAUGUGAAAGCCCCCGGCUCAACCGGGGAGGGUCAUUGGAAACUGGGGAACUUGAGUGCAGAAGAGGAGAGUGGAAUUCCACGUGUAGCGGUGAAAUGCGUAGAGAUGUGGAGGAACACCAGUGGCGAAGGCGACUCUCUGGUCUGUAACUGACGCUGAGGCGCGAAAGCGUGGGGAGCGAACAGGAUUAGAUACCCUGGUAGUCCACGCCGUAAACGAUGAGUGCUAAGUGUUAGAGGGUUUCCGCCCUUUAGUGCUGCAGCAAACGCAUUAAGCACUCCGCCUGGGGAGUACGGUCGCAAGACUGAAACUCAAAGGAAUUGACGGGGGCCCGCACAAGCGGUGGAGCAUGUGGUUUAAUUCGAAGCAACGCGAAGAACCUUACCAGGUCUUGACAUCCUCUGACAACCCUAGAGAUAGGGCUUCCCCUUCGGGGGCAGAGUGACAGGUGGUGCAUGGUUGUCGUCAGCUCGUGUCGUGAGAUGUUGGGUUAAGUCCCGCAACGAGCGCAACCCUUGAUCUUAGUUGCCAGCAUUCAGUUGGGCACUCUAAGGUGACUGCCGGUGACAAACCGGAGGAAGGUGGGGAUGACGUCAAAUCAUCAUGCCCCUUAUGACCUGGGCUACACACGUGCUACAAUGGGCAGAACAAAGGGCAGCGAAGCCGCGAGGCUAAGCCAAUCCCACAAAUCUGUUCUCAGUUCGGAUCGCAGUCUGCAACUCGACUGCGUGAAGCUGGAAUCGCUAGUAAUC
rnacentral:rRNA from 2 species